GCCCUUGCGGAUCCCGGCCGCUGCAGAGUUUGAUCCUGGCUCAGGAUGAACGCUGGCGGUAUGCUUAACACAUGCAAGUCGAGCGAUGUGGGGACGUAGCAAUGCUACGUCUGUGCAUAGUGGCGGACGGGUGAGUAACGCGUGAGAAUCUAGCUUCAGGUUCGGGACAACAUUGGGAAACCGAUGCUAAUACCGGAUGUGCCGAGAGGUGAAAGGCUAGCCGCCUGAAGAAGAGCUCGCGUCUGAUUAGCUAGUUGGUGGUGUAAGGGACUACCAAGGCGACGAUCAGUAGCUGGUCUGAGAGGAUGAUCAGCCACACUGGAACUGAGACACGGUCCAGACUCCUACGGGAGGCAGCAGUGGGGAAUUUUCCGCAAUGGGCGAAAGCCUGACGGAGCAAUACCGCGUGAGGGAGGAAGGCUCUUGGGUUGUAAACCUCUUUUCUCAAGGAAGAAGUUCUGACGGUACUUGAGGAAUCAGCAUCGGCUAACUCCGUGCCAGCAGCCGCGGUAAUACGGAGGAUGCAAGCGUUAUCCGGAAUGAUUGGGCGUAAAGCGUCCGCAGGUGGUUGUGUGUGUCUAUUGUCAAAGCAUCAUGCUUAACAUGAUAAAGGCAGUAGAAACUACACGACUAGAGUGCGUUCGGGGCAGAGGGAAUUCCUGGUGUAGCGGUGAAAUGCGUAGAGAUCAGGAAGAACACCGGUGGCGAAAGCGCUCUGCUAGGCCGCAACUGACACUGAGGGACGAAAGCUAGGGGAGCGAAUGGGAUUAGAUACCCCAGUAGUCCUAGCCGUAAACGAUGGAUACUAGGCGUUGAGAGUAUCGACCCUCUCAGUGCCGUAGCUAACGCGUUAAGUAUCCCGCCUGGGGAGUACGCACGCAAGUGUGAAACUCAAGGAAUUGACGGGGGCCCGCACAAGCGGUGGAGUAUGUGGUUUAAUUCGAUGCACGCGAGACCUUACCAGGGCUUGACAUGUCUGGGACUUCGGUGAAAGCUGAAGG
rnacentral:rRNA from 1 species